UCCUUUCUCUUCCUUCCUCUCAACCGCGACGGACCACGGAGCAAGGGAAGGAAGGAUAAGGCAAAAAAAUGGUUGUAACACAGAGGAGGGUAACGCGUGCGAGGGUUGCCACUUUGUCCUAUAUUUCCGGCAACUGUCCUCACAUUAAUAUACAGGCCAUCUGGUGCCCUCUAAGUCACUCUGGGCCUGGGUUCUGAGUGCCCGCCGCUGCCCUGGGUACUGAGGUGUCCUGGGUGGGUGUGGCGGGGCUGGGCACGCCGAAGAGGACCCAAGCACAAUCGUCUGCCUGCUCUUGUGGGUCAUAAGUUUGUGUGGCGUGGAAACUUAAUUGCUUUUUUUUUUUUUUUUUUUUGCCACGAUGACUACUACGGCUACGACUACUACUACUACUACUACUACUACUACUACUAUUGUUACUACUUUUAUUGGUGUUACUACUAUUGUUAGCUAUUACUAUUACUAUUACUCCCAUGCUACUACUACUACUACUACUACUGCCAUGAUGUUACUACUACUACUACUACUACUACUACUACUACUACUACUAUAUUACUGCUACCUCCUCACUACAAUAAAAAAAAAUAAUAACAAGAAUCCUACGUCUAUAUCCGUUUAUGUAUUCACUAACCACGUCGGAAUGCGGAAAACACAGGUGAGUCAUUAGCCGGACGCACCUGGACGCUGUGACCCCGGGGACAUCACCAGGACAGGACAGGUCAGGUCACCCACACGAUGCACCUGGGCCAUGGAAACAGGUGCGGGGUCAGAGCAGGAGGGGGGGAGGGGCAGGGGGGAAGGGAGGAGGAAAAGGGUAUAGUGGAAGGAGAGGGGUAGAUAGAUUGGUACGCAUAGAUAAAUAGAUAGAAGAUAGAUACACACACACACACACACACACACACACACACACACACUUUAAUAACUCCUCUGGAAAUGCUCGAAACUCCUCCGAUAGCCUUGUCAAAUGUCUGUGCUUGCUAAAUGUCAAUAAGGAGAUCAGUUGGAUUCUAAUGAGCGUUUUAUGGGUCAAAUUGCUUACCAGGGUCAUUAAACUAUAAACUACCCAUGGAAAUGCCCGAAACUCCUCCGAUACCCUUGUCAAAUGUCUGUGCUUGCUAAAUGUCAAUAAGGAGAUCAGUUGGAUUCUAAUGAGCGUUUUAUGGGUCAAAUUGCUUACCAGGGUCAUUAAACUAUAAACUACCCAUGGAAAUGCCCGAAACUCCUUCGAUAGCCUUGUCAAAUGUCUGUGUUUGCUAAAUGUCAAAAAGGAGAUCAGUUGGAUUCUAAUGAGCGUUAUAAGGACCAAAUUGCUUACCAGAGUCUUUAAACUAUAAACUACCCAUGGAAAUGCCCGAAACUCCUCCGAUACCCUUGUCAAAUGUGCUUGGGCGCUGAAACGUUCAAGAAUUUAUGACCCUUCAAAAGCAUAGCGCCCCAGUUCUUGUAAUCAUUUUUAACGGAAUCGUAAUCUCCAUAAAGGUCACAUUAUUUUCUACUCGACCACAAAUGACAAAGAGAUGUCCUGUUUUGCGUCCUGAAGUUUGUCGCUUAUAUAGCAACACCAAACACUGUACAGGAAAUGGGGAGUACUCUAUAUAUCCUUUGGCAUUUGCGUAACUAUAGACAAAGCCAUCGUAUUGACCUAUUGCAUCAUUUUUUUUUUCAAACGUCUCUCUCUCUCUCUCUCUCUCUCUCUCUCUCUCUCUCUCUCUCUCUCUCUCUGUCGACAUUUAUUUGUUUCCGCUUUCUCUUUCACGUUUAAUUUUUUUUUCUUCCUUCCUGUCUUCGUUUUCUUGCUCUGCUUCCGGUUUUUUUUUUUUGUCUUCACUCACUUUGUUUUCCUCAUUUGUUUUUAUUGUUUUUCUUUGUGGCAUUUUCUUAUUUUCUUCCUUCGCUCUCGUCUUCGCUUUCUUCAUCUGUUUUAUGAUGUUUAUUGUCUCCGGUUUUUUUAUAAUAAUUUUCUUCCUUUUUUCAUUAACUUUGGCUUCGUUGUUUUCCUUUGUCUUCAUUUUUUUCUUCCUCGCUCACGUCUUAUCUAUUCUGCAAAUACCACAGUAAACCCUCACUUUUGUAUAUGCACCUCAAUAUAAGACAAACUUCGUUAUAUACCAAAAGUUCGGAUAUAACGAAUUUUCGGAUAUACCGUACGUCACCCUCUUCCCCUCAAUCGGUUGGUUAAAGCGAUUUAUUUCCUUCUUUGCUAUUUUCCUAUUUUCUUUCAUAUUUUCCUAUUUUCCUUUGGCUAUUUUUUUGCUGUUUUUAUUUUCAUUUUAUUUUAUUUUAUUUACUGUAUUUGUUUUGCCCCAUUUCAGCUUCAAGUUAUACAUACAAAGUUAUUUUAGCAAGGAUAUUUAUUUAAUUUCUUAUAUUUACACUUCUUUUAUUCUUAUUCAUCUAUUCCUUUCUUCUUUCUGAUAUAUUCUGACAUUUAUAGUUUUUUGUAAUUUAUCUGAGCUACGUUUAAAAAAUACAACAUUAUCCUAACUGAGAUACAUCACUUUUUUAUAUUUACAGCUAAACUCACAAUUUUUUCCCCCUUUAUGCAUUCAUUCAUCUAUUUUCUCCAUUUCUUAACUAUUUUGUGACAUUUAUAGUUUUCUUUUUUUCAAUCUGAGCUGCUUAUGGAUACAAAAUUAUCUUAACCGAGUGGAAUUUUUUCUUAUAUUUUGAGCUAAACUAACUUUUUUUUUCCUUGUGCAUUCAUCUGUCCACUUCUUUCCAUGUUCAUCGAUUUUGUGACAUCCGUAGUUUUUUUUUUUUUUUUCAAUCUGAACUUAUAGCUUAAAAUAUACAAAAUUAUCGUAAGUGAGACAGAUUCUUUCUUGCAUUCACAGCUAAACUUAAAGUAACAUUCACUCUAUUUUUUUUUCUUUCUCAUCCAAUUUGUAGCAUUUAAAGUCUUUCAUCUGAGCAAAGUUUAUGAAAAAAUACAAAUUCUUUCUUGUAUUCACAGAUAAACUUAAAGUAACAUUCACUCAUUAGCCUUUUUUUUCUUUUCUUUCCCAUCCAUUUUGUAGCAUUCAAAGUCUUUCAUCUGAGCAAAGUUUAUGAAAAAAUACAAAUUCUUUCUUGCAUUCACAGCUAAACUUUAAGUAACAUUCACUCAUUUUUUUUUUCUUUCCCAUCCAUUUUGUAGCAUUCAAAGUCUUUCAUCUGAGCAAAGUUAAUGAAAAAAUACAAAUUCUUUCUUGUAUUCACAGCUAAACUUAAAGUAACAUUCACUCAUUAGCCUUUUUUUUAUUUUCUUUCCCAUCCAAUUUGUAGCAUUCAAAGUCUUUCAUCUGAGCGAAGUUUAUGAAAAAAUACAAAUUCUUUCUUGUAUUCAUAGCUAAACUUAAAGUAACAUUCACUCAUUUUUUUUCUUUCAUCUGAGCUAAGUUUAAAAAAAUACAAAAAUCUAAUAUUCACAGUUAAACGAAAGACAUUUUUUUGUGUACAUUUAGUCAUUCAUUUACAUUCAUCCAUUCACUCUCUUUCAUAUCUAAUUUGUAACACUUAAAGUUUUCAUCUGAGCGAAGUUUGAAAAAAAAUACAAAAAUCGUCUUAUAUUCACAGUUAAACAUAAGACAAUUUUUGCGUACAUUUAGUCAUUCAUUUACAUUCAUCUCUCUUUCACAUCUAAUUUGUAACACUUAAAGUUUUCAUCUGAGCUAACUUUAAAAAAAAUAAAAAUUCUUCUUAUAUUCACAGUUAAACAUAAGACAAUUUUUGCGUACAUUUAGUCAUUCAUUUACAUUCAUCUCUCUUUCACAUCUAAUUUGUAACACUUAACGUUUUCAUCUGAGCUAACUUUUAAAAAAAUAAAAAUUCUUCUUAUAUUCACAGUUAAAUGUACGACAACUUACAUAUUCAUUUAGUCAUUUACAUUCAUCCAUUCACUUUCACAUCAAAUUUGUAACAUUUAGCUUUUUUAUAUGAGCUAAGUUUAAAAAAUAUACAAAAUUGUUCAUGUAUUCACAGUUAAACGUACGACAAUUUUCAUAUUCAUUUAGUCAUUCAACAUUCAUCCAUUCACUUUCACAUCAAAUUUGUAACAUUUAGCUUUUUUCAUCUGAGCUAAGUUUAAAAAAAUACAAAAUUGUUCAUAUAUUCACAGUUAAACAUACUUAUUCAUUCAUUCAUUCAUUCACUUUCUCAUGUAUUAUUCAUUCAUUCAUUCACUUUCUUAUGAUUGUAUUCUGUAAGCAAUCUUUUUUGUUUGUUUGUUUUCAUGGUUUGAGCUUCGAGUUUAAAAUAACCAAAUGGUCCCAAUAAGCCAGACAUUUCAAUAUUUUCAAAUCUUAUAUUUACAAAUCUAAACUUACAUUAAAAAAACAUUCAUUCAUUCAUUUUUAUAAUUUGUCUUUAUUGCCAGUCAGAUUUUUUUUUUAAGUUUAAAAUAACCAAGCAAAAUAUUCCAAAGCCUUAUAUUUACACCUAUCAAAAAAAAAAAGAUUGUUCAUUCAUCCAUUCAUCUGUUUAUAUAUAAUUUGUCUAUGUUGCCAGUUGUGUGUUUGUUUUUCCUCGUAUGAGAUUAAACGCUCAAAAUAUACAAAUAAGCACCAUCGAAGCAUUUAACUUUCUUAUAUUUACUUAAGCUUGUGUUAUUUAUUUUUAUACUUCAUCUAGUAUUUUUAUUUCUAUUUCAUCUAUGUUAUCUGUUUAUGUUUUCAUGUAGUAUUCCUUUUUUUUCCACUUUUGUCAACGAGAAUAAUGUCUUCAGUUAAGGACUAACACUAAUAUAUUUUUCACUAGACUUUUUUUCUCUUUCAUUAACUUGAGCUAUUUGAAGUUUAUAUAUUUACCUCAGUUGAGCUUUAUACACACACACACACACACACACACACACACACACACACACACACACACACACACACACACACACUUCAUUCAUCAAAUCACUUCAAUAAUUUUAUCAGUAAGUUUUGUCAUUUCCCUGUUUCACUUCACAACCUUGAUUUCAUGACCUUGCGUGACCUGACCUGACCUGAUGUAACCUUGCUACCUACCACGCCUGACCUGAUGUGACCUUGACCUUGUUAACUAUAAAAUCAUAACCUGAUCUCACUUGCUACACACCUAACCUGACCUUUUUUUUAACUAUCUCUCUACCUUACCUGACCUGGUGUGACCUUGAUCUUGCUAACUACCAAACACCUAACCUAACAUGACCGGUACUAUCAAGCACUUCAGGUUCUUGUUACGGUUAUUCUUUAAGGCCAGGGAGGAGCUAUGUCGGGCUGUCGUGUGUUUUCCCGUUCACAACCCCGCGGAGGCCUUGCAAACUACCGCCUGGCUCAUGAAACCACCCAUGGAACCCCCGAUAACUUCCGCGAGAGCCUUUUGAAUAGAUGGACUACACCUUCGAAGAGUCCGAUGAUAUGGACCUUAAUCGCUUCCCUCCCUUUCCACCCCCUAUGUCCUUAAUUAACAGAUCAUUACCUUCCUAAUAAACACCACAAGCAGGUUAUCUAAAUUAUUCACAACCAUUCUACAACCUUUGUCUUCAUUUUGUUUUGUAGUUGAAGUAUCGCGCAUCUUCGUUCUUUUUUUUUUUAACCUUUGAGUGUAUUUGUUUGUGCGUUUUGAAGUGUACGGAUUUUGGCUGUGGCGUGUGUAGCGGUAAUCGUGUAUCGUCUGUCUCUGUUUGUUUGUUGGAGUGUGUCGCCUGAAUUUCCAAACGUCGUGUUAGUCAGAAUCUGAUUUGUCUUUGUUUAACCCGUUUUUUUUUAAGGAUUUUUUUUUCUUACAGUAAAGGGAGUAGCUCAGGGGUAAAAAAAAUAUAUGAAAACAAAAAAGCCCACCAAUAAAUGAAAAAAACACUAAUAAAUGAGAAAAAAAACACUAAUAAAUGAAAAAAACACUAAUAAAUGAAAAAAAAACACUAAUAAAUGAAAAAAACACUAAAUGAAAAAAAAACACUAAUAAAUGAGAAAAACACUAAUAAAUGAAAAAAACACUAAUAAAUGAAAAAAAACACUAAUAAAUGAAAAGAAACACUAAUGAAAAACACUAAUAAAUGAAAAGAAACACUAAUAAAUGAAAAAUAAAAAGGAAAUAGGGUGGACAUUUGUUUUUCUUGGCAUCUUAUUUUUUCUUUCUUUUCUUUUCUUUUUUCUUUUUUAGUAUCAUCUUUCACGUCCAGAGAGAGUGUAACGCGUCGACUUAAUUAACUCCGUGAAAAUCCAACACUUCCUAACUGACUCACCCCAUCCCAAAAGGUCGAGUUUAAGAGACAAACUAACCAUUGCAAUGUUGGUACAAACACUAACGCAUGAACCCGUCUGGAAAUUCUGGCGCCCACGCUUAACCCGGUAGCUGCGGGGAUCGUGUUUCUUAAUGGUCCCUCUAAGCGAGAAAAAUGAGAAAAAAAUCAUCUCUCACACAAACCAUUUCAUAAUAUAUAUAUCAAAGCAUUUGUGAUCAGUUUAUGCAUCAUCUAUUUUGGGGGUUUAUAUCAUGGCACGAAUUUGGCCCGUCGCUGCUGCUACACGGUAAAGCCACAAAUUUGGCCCGUCGCUGCUGCUACACGGUAAAGCCACAAAUUUGGCCCGUCGUUGCUACACGGUAAAGCCACAAAUUUGGCCCGUCGCUGCUACACGGUAAAGCCACAAAUUUGGCCCGUCGCUGCUGCUACACGGUAAAGCCACAAAUUUGGCCCGUCGCUGCUACACGGUAAAGCCACAAAUUUGGCCCGUCGCUGCUGCUACACGGUAAAGCCACAAAUUUGGCCCGUCGCUGCUGCUACACGGUAAAGCCACAAAUUUGGCCCGUCGCUGCUGCUACACGGUAAAGCCAUAAAUUUGGCCCGUCGCUGCUACACGGUAAAGCCACAAAUUUGGCCCGUCGCUGCUACACGGUAAAGCCACAAAUUUGGCUCGUCGCUGCUACAUGAUAAAGCCAUAAAUUUGGCUCGUCGCUGCUACCGGGUUAACUAUAAGUGUAUCGCGUAUCUGUAACAGUAUUAUAAUCAUUUUCAACUACUGUCUAUUAGUGUAUUGCAGUGUAUGUUGGUUUGAUAUGUAUUUGUAUCAUGUAUCUAUCGCCCAUCUAUUUGUCUAUUGCAGUGUGUUGAUUUUUACUUCUAUUGUGUGUGGGUUUAUCUAUCCAGGGUAUGUGUUAUCUAUCCGUCUAUUGCAGUGUGUUGAUUUUUACUUCUAUUGUGUGUGGGUUUAUCUAUCAGGGGUAUGUGUUAUCUAUCUGUAUACAUAAGUCUAAUGAUUGCAUUGUUAAGAGCAUGUCUAUCUAUCAGUACUAUCUAUUAUCUAUCUAUCUGUGUAUUCAUUCCUGUAUUGCACGUUAUAAUUUUUGCCUAUAUGUGUUUUUGUUUUACCUCAUUUUUUUUUCUGAAUUCGCCUUUGAAAAAACGUUAUCUUGCUUGCUUUUAGGUUACUACACACACACACACACACACACACACACACACACACACACACACACACACACACACA